rnacentral:tRNA from 1 species
GCGCCCGUAGCUCAGUGGAUAGAGCGCUGCCCUCCGGAGGCAGAAGUCGCAAGUUCGAAUCUUGCCGGGCGCG